rnacentral:tRNA from 1 species
GAGGGCUAUGGGGUUGCGAAAAGACUUCUAAUUUUUUAGCGGACAGUUCGACUCUGUUUGGUACUUA